UGGGGAAUAUUGCACAAUGGGCGCAAGCCUGAUGCAGCCAUGCCGCGUGUAUGAAGAAGGCCUUCGGGUUGUAAAGUACUUUCAGCGGGGAGGAAGGGAGUAAAGUUAAUACCUUUGCUCAUCGACGUUACCCGCAGAAGAAGCACCGGCUAACUCCGUGCCAGCAGCCGCGGUAAUACGGAGGGUGCAAGCGUUAAUCGGAAUUACUGGGCGUAAAGCGCACGCAGGCGGUUUGUUAAGUCAGAUGUGAAAUCCCCGGGCUCAACCUGGGAACUGCAUCUGCUACUGGCAAGCUUGAGUCUCGUAGAGGGGGGUAGAAUUCCAGGUGUAGCGGUGGAAUGCGUAGAGAUCUGGGGGAAUACCGGUGGCGAAGGCGGCCCCCUGGGCGAAGACUGACGCUCUGGUGCGAAAGCGUGGGGGGCAAACAGG
rnacentral:rRNA from 1 species